rnacentral:rRNA from 1 species
GUGGGGAAUCUUCCGCAAUGGACGAAAGUCUGACGGAGCAACGCCGCGUGAGUGAUGAAGGUCUUCGGAUUGUAAAGCUCUGUUAAUCGGGACGAAAGAGCCUAGUGUGAAUAAUGCUAGGAAGUGACGGUACCGGAAUAGAAAGCCACGGCUAACUACGUGCCAGCAGCCGCGGUAAUACGUAGGUGGCAAGCGUUGUCCGGAAUUAUUGGGCGUAAAGCGCGCGCAGGCGGAUCUGCCAGUCUGUCUUAAAAGUUCGGGGCUUAACCCCGUGAUUGGAUGGAAACUACAGAUCUAGAGUAUCGGAGAGGAAAGUGGAAUUCCUAGUGUAGCGGUGAAAUGCGUAGAUAUUAGGAAGAACACCAGUGGCGAAGGCGACUUUCUGGACGAAAACUGACGCUGAGGCGCGAAAGCCAGGGGAGCGAACGGGAUUAGAUACCCUUGUAGUCC